rnacentral:rRNA from 1 species
AGCGAACGCUGGCGGCAGGCUUAACACAUGCAAGUCGAGCGGGCGUAGCAAUACGUCAGCGGCAGACGGGUGAGUAACGCGUGGGAACGUACCUUUUGGUUCGGAACAACACAGGGAAACUUGUGCUAAUACCGGAUAAGCCCUUACGGGGAAAGAUUUAUCACCGAAAGAUCGGCCCGCGUCUGAUUAGCUAGUCGGUAGGGUAAUGGCCUACCAAGGCGACGAUCAGUAGCUGGUCUGAGAGGAUGAUCAGCCACAUUGGGACUGAGACACGGCCCAAACUCCGACGGGAGGCAGCAGUGGGGAAUAUUGGACAAUGGGGGCAACCCUGAUCCAGCAAUGCCGCGUGAGUGAUGAAGGCCCUAGGGUUGUAAAGCUCUUUUGUGCGGGAAGAUAAUGACGGUACCGCAAGAAUAAGCCCCGGCUAACUUCGUGCCAGCCGCCGCGGUAA